rnacentral:rRNA from 1 species
GACGAACGCUGGCGGCGUGCUUAACACAUGCAAGUCGAACGGUGAAGCGCCUUCCUUUUUGGUGGGUGUGGAUGAGUGGCGAACGGGUGAGUAACACGUGAGUAACCUGCCCCCUUCUUCUGGAUAACCGCAUGAAAGUGUUGCUAAUACGGGAUAUUCUGGGUCUGUCGCAUGAUGGGUCUGGGAAAGAUAUUGUUUCGGUGGUGGAUGGGCUCGCGGCCUAUCAGCUUGUUGGUGGGGUGAUGGCCUACCAAGGCGGUGACGGGUAGCCGGCCUGAGAGGGUGGACGGGCACACUGUGACUGAGACACGGCCCAGACUACUACGGGAGGCAGCAGUGGGGAAUAUUGCACAAUGGGAGCAAGCAUGAUGCAGCGACGCCGCGUGAGGGAUGGAGGCCUUCGGGUUGUAAACCUCUUUCGCCAGUGAAGCAGGCCUGCCUCGUUUGUGGGUGGGUUGACGGUAGCUGGAUAAGAAGCGCCGGCUAACUACGUG